rnacentral:rRNA from 1 species
GAUGAACGCUGGCGGCGUGCCUAAUACAUGCAAGUCGAGCGAACAGAUAAGGAGCUUGCUCCUUUGAAGUUAGCGGCGGACGGGUGAGUAACACGUGGGUAACCUACCUAUAAGACUGGGAUAACUUCGGGAAACCGGAGCUAAUACCGGAUAACAUUUAGAACCGCAUGGUUCUAAAGUGAAAGAUGGUUUUGCUAUCACUUAUAGAUGGACCCGCGCCGUAUUAGCUAGUUGGUAAGGUAACGGCUUACCAAGGCGACGAUACGUAGCCGACCUGAGAGGGUGAUCGGCCACACUGGAACUGAGCCACGGUCCAGACUCCUACGGGAGGCAGCAGUAGGGAAUCUUCCGCAAUGGGCGAAAGCCUGACGGGGCAACGCCGCGUGAGUGAUGAAGGGUUUCGGCUCGUAAAACUCUGUUAUUAGGGAAGAACAAAUGUGUAAGUAACUGUGCACAUCUUGACGGUACCUAAUCAGAAAGCCACGGCUAACUACGUG